UACGGAGGGGACUAGCGUUGUUCGGAAUUACUGGGCGUAAAGCGCACGUAGGCGGAUUUGUAAGUCAGGGGUGAAAUCCCGGGGCUCAACCCCGGAACUGCCUUUGAUACUGCGAAUCUCGAGUCCGGAAGAGGUGAGUGGAAUUCCUAGUGUAGAGGUGAAAUUCGUAGAUAUUAGGAAGAACACCAGUGGCGAAGGCGGCUCACUGGCCCGGUACUGACGCUGAGGUGCGAAAGCGUGGGGAGCAAACAGG
rnacentral:rRNA from 1 species